UACGAAGGGGGCUAGCGUUGCUCGGAAUUACUGGGCGUAAAGGGCGCGUAGGCGGAUACUUAAGUCGGGGGUGAAAGCCCGGGGCUCAACCUCGGAAUUGCCUUCGAUACUGGGUAUCUUGAGUUCGGGAGAGGUGAGUGGAAUGCCGAGUGUAGAGGUGAAAUUCGUAGAUAUCAGGAGGAACACCUGUGGCGAAAGCGGCUCACUGGACCAUAACUGACGCUGAUGCACGAAAGCUAGGGGAGCAAACAGG
rnacentral:rRNA from 1 species